AUGGCGCAGCCUGCUGAGCUUUCCCGCGAGGAGAAUGUGUACAUGGCCAAGCUUGCAGAGCAGGCUGAGAGGUACGAAGAGAUGGUUGAGUUCAUGGAGAAGGUGGCCAAGACAGUCGACUCCGAGGAGCUCACCGUCGAGGAGCGCAACCUUCUAUCGGUUGCUUACAAGAAUGUUAUUGGUGCCCGCCGUGCCUCGUGGCGCAUCAUUUCCUCCAUCGAGCAGAAGGAAGAGAGCCGUGGCAAUGAGGACCGUGUCACACUCAUCAAGGACUACCGUGGAAAGAUUGAGGUUGAGCUCACUAAGAUCUGUGAUGGUAUCCUCAAGCUUCUUGAUUCCCACCUUGUCCCCUCAUCCACUGCUCCAGAGUCCAAGGUCUUCUACCUAAAGAUGAAGGGUGAUUACUACAGGUACCUUGCGGAGUUCAAGAGUGGAACUGAGAGGAAGGAUGCUGCUGAGAACACCAUGGUGGCAUACAAAGCUGCUCAGGAGAUUGCACUGAAAGAGCUGCCCCCGACUCAUCCUAUUAGGCUUGGGCUGGCACUCAACUUCUCGGUGUUCUAUUAUGAGAUCCUCAACUCUCCAGACCGUGCUUGUGACCUCGCCAAGCAGGCUUUUGAUGAGGCCAUCUCGGAACUGGACUCUCUGAGCGAGGAGUCCUACAAGGACAGCACUUUGAUCAUGCAGCUUCUGCGUGAUAACCUGACGCUGUGGACUUCUGACAUCUCGGAGGACGCUGCUGAAGAAAUGAAGGAUGCUCCCAAGGGUGAAUCUGGAGAUGGACAGUAA
rnacentral:rRNA from 1 species